CUUUGGAUUGGGGAUUUUUUUCGAUGGGCGAAAGCCUGACGGAGCAAUACCGCGUGGGGGAGGAAGGCUUUUGGGUUGUAAACCCCUUUUUUCAGGGAAGAAAAAAAUGACGGUACCUGAAGAAUCAGCAUCGGCUAACUCCGUGCCAGCAGCCGCGGUAAUACGGAGGAUGCAAGCGUUAUCCGGAAUCAUUGGGCGUAAAGCGUCCGUAGGUGGCUCUUCAAGUCCACUGUCAAAUCCCGCAGCUCAACCCGAACAGGCAGUGGAAACUAAAGGCUAGAGUGCGGUAGGGUAGAGGGAAUCCCGGUGGAGCGGUGAAAUGCGUAGAGUCAGGAAGAACACCGGUGGCGAAAGCGCUCUACUAGGCCGCAACUGACACUUCGAUGACGAAGGUAGGGGGCCCC
rnacentral:rRNA from 1 species